rnacentral:tRNA from 11 species
GGGCGCUUAGCUCAGCUGGUUUAGAGCAUCUGCCUUACAAGCAGAGGGUCGGGGGUUCGAAUCCCUCAGCGCCCA